UACAUGUGGGGCAAGCGUUGUUCGGAAUUACUGGGCAUAAAGGGUGCGUAGGCGGCUUGUUAAGUCAGGGGUGAAAGUUUUCGGCCCAACCGGAAAAUUGCCUUUGAUACUGGCGAGCUCGAGUGCGUGAGGGGUAACCGGAACGAGUGGUGUAGCGGUGAAAUGCGUAGAUAUCAGGAGGAACACCGGUGGCGAAGGCGGGACUCUGGGCUGAUACUGACGCUGAGGAGCGAAAGCGUGGGGAGCAAACAGG
rnacentral:rRNA from 1 species